UACGUAGGGUGCGAGCGUUGUCCGGAAUUAUUGGGCGUAAAGCGCUCGUAGGCGGUGUGUCACGUCGGCCGUGAAAACCUGCAGCUUAACUGUGGGCGUGCGGUCGAUACGGGCAUCACUGGAGUUCGGCAGGGGAGACUGGAAUUCCUGGUGUAGCGGUGAAAUGCGCAGAUAUCAGGAGGAACACCGGUGGCGAAGGCGGGUCUCUGGGCCGAUACUGACGCUGAGGAGCGAAAGCGUGGGGAGCAAACAGG
rnacentral:rRNA from 1 species